GGGUGCGAUCAUACUAGUGUUAAUGCAUCGGAUCCCAUCAGAACUCCGCAGCUAAGUGCACUUGGGCUAGAGCAGUACUGGGAUAGGAGACCUCCUGGGAAGUCCUAAUGUUGCACCCU
rnacentral:rRNA from 1 species